rnacentral:rRNA from 1 species
UACGAGGGGGGCGAGCGUUGUUCGGAAUUAUUGGGCGUAAAGGGUGCGUAGGCGGUUUGGUAAGUCUGAUGUGAAAUCUAUGGGCUCAACUCAUAGUCUGCAUCGGAAACUGCCGGGCUUGAGUAUGGGAGAGGUGAGUGGAAUUCCGAGUGUAGAGGUGAAAUUCAUAGAUAUUCGGAAGAACACCAGUGGCGAAGGCGACUUACUGGACACAUAUUGACGCUGAGGUGCGAAAGCGUGGGGAGCAAACAGG